AAAACUUGUGACAAUUAUUCCCGCGAAAAUGCAACUGCUGUCUGGCGAUGAGAAGCGAAAGAGAAAAAAGCCCUAGAUGGAUCCAUCCCGUGCAUUUCGUUCAGUAGUACCUCCUGCAGUGGUUGUUUGCAGAGUGGACAGCGUAGAUUAUGAUCCAGACUUCUCUCAAUGCAGUUCUUGCAGAAGGAAAUGCAAGUGUCUGGAAGCAGGACAUAAGGCCAGUGAAAAACAACACUCUACAAAUCUCCACUGACCUGAUGCAGAGAGGGCACUCAAAAUCCGUCACUGUCAGAACGCUGAGGCAGGACUCUCUGCCCACACUGCACACACCUACAGAAUCAAACAAAACAAACCUUCAGUGGAUGUCAUUCUGAUUUAUUGUCUAAACGAAGACAGUAUUGUUUGAGAACUGCUUAUGAAGUAAAAUGAAAUAACAUUUAUAUGAAUAAUAAUUAUUAUAUUUAAUAAUAAUAUAAAUGUAUAACCCAUUAUGUUUACCUGUUACUACUGAACUUACAAAACCCAACGUAAUCUCAAAUAUCAAAAUGAAUAUAUGUUUAAUAAGACAAUUUACUAAUGACAUAUUAUUAGAUUAUUGUAUACUUAUGCAAUAAGUCACAUGAGACCAUGUUAUACAGUUCAUGUAGCUUGGCUAAUGCGCUAAUGUGUUAUGAAUAUAAUUACAGCUAUUUUAACUUGCUGAAACCAACACAUACAUUAUUAUGUAUUCUUUACUUAAUGCGUUGUUUAAAAAUGUAUGAGGUUGAUGAUGAUUAAUAACUAUCAUCAAGUGACAAUUAAUUAAAAUUGUAUGAAGCAAAGCAGCUAAACUACAACCUUUCAGCAUUUUGCACAGGAACAAUCUAUUUAAGAAUUAUAUUUUGAAAUAAUUAUUGAAUUAUUUUUAAUACUAAAACAAUGUUUUAAUUAUCUCUAGAAGAUGCAUAUACAAAUGUGAAUGCAUUUCAUUUGUUUUCCUGAGCAGUUUGUAGGAGAUCUUUACCUCUG